UACGUAGGGUGCGAGCGUUAAUCGGAAUUACUGGGCGUAAAGCGUGCGCAGGCGGUUUUGUAAGCCAGAUGUGAAAUCCCCGGGCUUAACCUGGGAAUGGCAUUUGGGACUGCAAAGCUUGAGUGCGGCAGAGGAGACUGGAAUUCCUGGUGUAGCAGUGAAAUGCGUAGAUAUCAGGAGGAACACCGAUGGCGAAGGCAGGUCUCUGGGCUGACACUGAC
rnacentral:rRNA from 1 species